rnacentral:rRNA from 1 species
GACGAACGCUGGCGGCGUGCCUAAUACAUGCAAGUCGAACGCAGUGGGGACGGGUGAGUAACACGUGGGUAACCUCCCAUCAGAGGGGAUAACACUUGGAAACAGGUGCUAAACCGAUACUGAUGGAUGGACCCGCGGUGCAUUAGCUAGUUGGUGAGGUAACGGCUCACCAAGGCCACGAUGCAUAGCCGACCUGAGAGGGUGAUCGGCCACACUGGGUCUUAGGCGCUGCCCAUACUCCUACGGGAGGGCGCAGUAGGGAAUCUUCGGCAAUGGACGAGAGUCUGACCGAGCAACGCAGCGUGAGUGAAGAAAGUUUUCGGAUCGUAAAACUCUGUUUUUCGAGGAGCGGUAUCUAACUAGAAAGCCACGGCUAACUACGUGCCAGCAGCCGCGGUAAUAC